rnacentral:rRNA from 1 species
GACGUAGGGCGCGAGCGUUGUCCGGAUUUAUUGGGCGUAAAGAGCUCGUAGGCGGUCUGUCGCGUCGGCUGUGAAAUCCCGAGGCUCAACCUCGGGUCUGCAGUCGAUACGGGCAAACUAGAGUAUUGCAGGGGAGACUGGAAUUCCUGGUGUAGCGGUGAAAUGCGCAGAUAUCAGGAGGAACACCGAUGGCGAAGGCAGGUCUCUGGGCCACUACUGACGCUGAGAAGCGAAAGCAUGGGGGAGCGAACAGG